rnacentral:rRNA from 1 species
UACGAGGGGAGCAAGCGUUGUUCGGAUUUACUGGGCGUAAAGGGCGCGUAGGCGGUCGUGACAAGUCACUUGUGAAAUCUCCGGGCUUAACUCGGAACGGUCAAGUGAUACUGUCGGACUAGAGUACAGAAGGGGCAACUGGAAUUCUCGGUGUAGCGGUGAAAUGCGUAGAUAUCGAGAGGAACACCUGCGGCGAAGGCGGGUUGCUGGGCUGAUACUGACGCUGAGACGCGAAAGCGUGGGGGAGCAAACAGG